GAUUUCAAUUGAAAAAGUCAUCAACAACAAAGUUGAAUAACUCAUCAAGAUCUAAAACUUUUAUUUUUGUUAUUUCUUCAUCCAACAAAAUGUUAAAUGUUAGUAACAUUAUUCACAAAUUUUACAUAUAUAUGUGUUAUAGUUUAUAAAAGCAGAUAAGAGAUAUGUCAAUUUUGUGAACAAUGUUACUAUCACUUUGUCAUAUGAAGAAAUGACCAAAAUAAAAGUUUUAGAUCUUGAUGGGUUAUUCGACUUUGUUGUUGAUGAAUUUUUCAGUUCAUAUC
rnacentral:pre_miRNA from 1 species